rnacentral:SRP_RNA from 1 species
GCUGGGCAUGGUGGCACAUGCCUGUAAUCCCAGCUACUCUGGAGGCGGAGGCAGGAGAAUCGCUUGAACCUGGGAGGUUGAGGCUGCAGUGAGCUGAGAUUGGACCACUGCACUCCAGCCUGGGCAACAGAGUGAGACUCUGUCUCAA